AGUGAACGCUGGCGGUAGGCCUAACACAUGCAAGUCGAACGGCAGCACAGGAGAGCUUGCUCUCUGGGUGGCGAGUGGCGGACGGGUGAGGAAUACAUCGGAAUCUACUCUGUCGUGGGGGAUAACGUAGGGAAACUUACGCUAAUACCGCAUACGACUUACGGGUGAAAGCAGGGGAUCUUCGGACCUUGCGCGAUUGAAUGAGCCGAUGUCGGAUUAGCUAGUUGGCGGGGUAAAGGCCCACCAAGGCGACGAUCCGCAGCUGGUCUGAGAGGAUGAUCAGCCACACUGGAACUGAGACACGGUCCAGACUCCUACGGGAGGCAGCAGUGGGGAAUAUUGGACAAUGGGCGCAAGCCUGAUCCAGCCAUACCGCGUGGGUGAAGAAGGCCUUCGGGUUGUAAAGCCCUUUUGUUGGGAAAGAAAUCCAGCUGGCUAAUACCCGGUUGGGAUGACGGUACCCAAAGAAUAAGCACCGGCUAACUUCGUGCCAGCAGCCGCCGUAA
rnacentral:rRNA from 1 species